rnacentral:rRNA from 1 species
GGGGGUACUCGAGUGGCGAACGGGUGAGUAACACGUGGGUGAUCUGCCUUGCACUCUGGGAUAAGCUUGGGAAACUGGGUCUAAUACCGGAUAGGAACCGUCUUUAGUGUGGUGGUUGGAAAGUUUUUUCGGUGCAAGAUGAGCUCGCGGCCUAUCGGCUUGUUGGUGGGGUAAUGGCCUACCAAGGCGUCGACGGGUAGCCGGCCUGAGAGGGUGUACGGCCACAUUGGGACUGAGAUACGGCCCAG